GACGAACGCUGGCGGCGUGCUUAACACAUGCAAGUCGAACGGAAAGGCCCUUCGGGGUACUCGAGUGGCGAACGGGUGAGUAACACGUGGGUGAUCUGCCCUGCACUUUGGGAUAAGCCUGGGAAACUGGGUCUAAUACCGAAUAGGACCGCAUGCUUCAUGGUGUGUGGUGGAAAGCUUUUGCGGUGUGGGAUGGGCCCGCGGCCUAUCAGCUUGUUGGUGGGGUAAUGGCCUACCAAGGCGACGACGGGUAGCCGGCCUGAGAGGGUGACCGGCCACACGGGGACUGUGGUACGGCCCAGCCCCCUGCGGGAGGCAGCAGGGGGGAAUUUUGCAAAAGGGGCGCAAGGCUGAGGCAGGGACGCGGCGUGAGGGAUGACGGCCUUCGGUUUGUAAACCUCUUUCAGCAGGGACGAAGCGCAAGUGACGGUGCCGGCAGAAGAAGGACCGGCCAACUACGUGCCAGCCGCCGCGGUAA
rnacentral:rRNA from 1 species